UUUAGUUUGUAAUACGCUUACAUUCUUGACUGAUUGAAUCCCAAUAUUGUAUAUUUAAGACAUCAUUUAAUAAAAUAUAUUUGCCAUGUCAAAAUUGCGGGUGUAUAGAUUAGAUGAUAAUAUUCAACUUUGGCACAUAUUUUGUGUCGCGAAAGACAUGGGAGGAAAGUUUAACAUGCAAAACGGUAAAGUAAAAUGGUUCAACAAUGAAAAAGGUUUCGGAUUCAUCGAAGUAGAAGGCGGAGACGAUGUAUUCGUUCACUUCUCAGCUAUCCAGGGCGACGGCUACAAGUCACUAGAAGAAGGUCAAGAAGUUUCUUUUGAAAUCGUUGAAGGAAACCGUGGACCACAAGCUGCUAACGUAGUAAAACUAUAAUUAAAAAAGUUGAAGGCUGGCGCCAGGCGCCAGCCUUUUU
rnacentral:sRNA from 1 species